GACGAGUCACUACGGUGAUGAAGUAGCUCAUGCCCCGCUUCCAGGAAAAGCCUCUAAGCUCUAGAUUAUCAUUAAUCGUACCCCAAACCGACACAGGUGGUCAGGUAGAGAAUACUCAGGCGCUUGAGAGAACUCGGGUGAAGGAACUAGGCAAAAUGGUGCCGUAACUUCGGGAGAAGGCACGCUGGCGCUAGGUGAAGUCCCUCGCGGAUGGAGCUGAAGCCAGUCGCAGAUACCAGCUGGCUGCAACUGUUUAUUAAAAACACAGCACUGUGCAAACACGAAAGUGGACGUAUACGGUGUGACGCCUGCCCGGUGCUGGAAGGUUAAUUGAUGGGGUUAUCCGUAAGGAGAAGCUCUUGAUCGAAGCCCCAGUAAACGGCGGCCGUAACUAUAACGGUCCUAAGGUAGCGAAAUUCCUUGUCGGGUAAGUUCCGACCUGCACGAAUGGCGUAAUGAUGGCCAGGCUGUCUCCACCCGAGACUCAGUGAAAUUGAACUCGCUGUGAAGAUGCAGUGUACCCGCGGCAAGACGGAAAGACCCCGUGAACCUUUACUAUAGCUUGACACUGAACAUUGAGCCUUGAUGUGUAGGAUAGGUGGGAGGCUUUGAAGUGUGGACGCCAGUCUGCAUGGAGCCAACCUUGAAAUACCACCCUUUAAUGUUUGAUGUUCUAACGUAGCCCCGUUAUCCGGGGUGCGGACAGUGUCUGGUGGGUAGUUUGACUGGGGCGGUCUCCUCCCAAAGAGUAACGGAGGAGCACGAAGGUUGGCUAAGCAUGGUCGGACAUCAUGCGGUUAGUGCAAAGGCAUAAGCCAGCUUGACUGCGAGAGUGACGGCUCGAGCAGGUACGAAAGUAGGUCUUAGUGAUCCGGUGGUUCUGAAUGGAAGGGCCAUCGCUCAACGGAUAAAAGGUACUCCGGGGAUAACAGGCUGAUACCGCCCAAGAGUUCAUAUCGACGGCGGUGUUUGGCACCUCGAUGUCGGCUCAUCACAUCCUGGGGCUGAAGUAGGUCCCAAGGGUACGGCUGUUCGCCGUUUAAAGUGGUACGCGAGCUGGGUUUAGAACGUCGUGAGACAGUUCGGUCCCUAUCUGCCGUGGGCGUUGGAAGAUUGAAAGGGGCUGCUCCUAGUACGAGAGGACCGGAGUGGACGCACCACUGGUGUUCGGGUUGUCAUGCCAAUGGCAUUGCCCGGUAGCUAAGUGCGGAAGAGAUAACCGCUGAAAGCAUCUAAGCGGGAAACUUGCCUUGAGAUGAGUCUUCCCUGACUCUUAAAGGGUCCUAAAGGAACGUUUAAGACUAAGACGUUGAUAGGUUGGGUGUGUAAGCGUAGCGAUACGUUGAGCUAACCAAUACUAAUGAACCGUGAGGCUUAACCUG
rnacentral:rRNA from 1 species